rnacentral:rRNA from 1 species
CAGCACCUCAAGUGGUCAGGAUGAUUAUUGGGCCUAAAGCAUCCGUAGCCGGCGCUGUAAGUUUUCGGUUAAAUCUGUACGCUCAACGUACAGGCUGCCGGGAAUACUGCAGCGCUAGGGAGUGGGAGAGGUAGACGGUACUCGGUAGGAAGGGGUAAAAUCCUUUGAUCUAUUGAUGACCACCUGUGGCGAAGGCGGCCUACCAGAACACGUCCGACGGUGAGGGAUGAAAGCUGGGGGAGCAAACCGGAUUAGAGACCCGAGUAGUCC